UACAGAGAGUGCAAACGUUGUUCGGAAUUACUGGGCUUGAAGCGCACGUAGGCGGCGUUGUAAGUGUCGGGUGAAAUCCCACGGCUCACCCGUGGAACUGCCCGGCAUACUGCGAUGCUAGAGUGUGGUAGGGGAGAGCGGAACUCCUGGUGGAGCGGUGAAAUGCGUAGAUAUCAGGAGGAACACCGGUGGCGAAGGCGGCUCUCUGGUCCACAACUGACGCUGAGGUGCGAAAGCUAGGGGAGCAAACAGG
rnacentral:rRNA from 1 species